UUUUCGGACUCCCCAGGCACAGCAGCAUCAGCAGGGAGCAAAAAAAGGCUGGGCCCCUCCACAGUGUGGGUGAUGCCCUGUUUGGGCGAGCAUUGAAGGACAGAAUAGGCUCUGGUCUUGCUGCUGUACCUUGGAGCUCACUCAACACCCAGGGAUGCACGGCAAAAAUGUUUGGACAACACGGAUGAAAGCCUUUAAUUACAUGACUACCUGCUGCUUUUUGCAGAGAGCGCUCGCCUCGUUCAGCGAACAGGACAGACCUGCUUUGCAUGUGGGUCACUUCACCGUGAAGGAGGCUGUUCCCCAUGCGACCCUGCCUCAUUUAUUGCAGAGGAUAACAAACAUCCCCAGUGGACAGAAGAUGGGAGGCCUUCCCUUGCUGCACACCUCCCUGCACAGGGGUACAGACCUCUGCCAGCAGCGUGAAUAGUGCAAGUAAUGGGUUGUCAUCUCCUGUUUGAAUCAGCAGCAGGGAGGGACGGGACGCUUUGCCAGUGAGAUUCACUAAUAUUUGCUGACAUUGGAAGAAUGGUGAAAGUUGGCUGUCUUUGGUUCAGUCCCAGGAUCAGUGGCUUGUCUGCCUGUCCUCCAAAUGGCUUAGCCCCUUUUACCAUUUUCAAUUCAUUCAUACGUCCUUCUGUUAAUCUUGCCCCACACACAGCCCUCACAGUACUACCUUGACCUCCUGAACUGAAAAAUUCCUGGAUAAAACCCUGUAUGCCCUGAUCUGAUCCCAUUGCCAAUCCCCCUUCAAGAGGAGGUAAGAAUAGAGGCUUCCUGAUCCCUUCCAACCUGAAUUAUCCAAUGAUCCUAUGAACUCAUCGUGUUUUUCUCCAUUACAUAAAUAGUCUGCAUACCAAUAGCCUAUUUUAUUAAUCAGUCUUUGUACCAAGUAGCUUUGAUUUAUCGCAUUGUCAUAGCUUCACCUCUACAGUACAGGAUUCCUUUAGAUAAAAAAGGCAACCAAGCAUACAUCCCAUAAAACAGUAAAAUAUAGCCAGGGUUGUUGUUAUGUGGGAUGAGGUUGUUGCAAAUUCUAUAUAAAAUGGGAUUUUGUGCCAGGAGCUCUUCAAAGUGCCAUGGCUGGCCUUCCAAGAAUCUGGAAAUGUCAUCGCCAAGGCUAAGGAACCUUGUUUUUUUCCUCCUCUCUGUGAACACGAUGAUAUUUGCCUGGAUCCUGGCUCUAAAUCCUCCGAGCCGUGGCAGGGUGCCGAGAGGCAGGAUGCUAGCUGUGCGACAGGAGGCUUGCUCUGGUCGGGGCAGCGCUCCCCAUUUUCCAGUGCUGGGACACACUGCCCCAGUGCUGAGGCUGCUGUGCAUCGUGGCUAUCUGCAUCGUCUUCUAACAAAGAGGCACCCCAAAGAUGCUACAUCUGCUAUUGGGGGUCAGAGAGGCACUGGUUAAGAAGCCAUGCUUGAUCCUGAGAGGCAGUGUCUCAAAAAGCCCUGCACAGGAAGGAAAGGCUUGGCUCUGUAACCUCAACUUCAGCGUUUAUUCAUGUGUAGGCUCCAGCAUGCAGUAGAGCAGUCCUUUCAAAAUGUGGAUAUUCCUCUCAAAAUGUUUUCAUUUUCCUAUUCAAAUCAAAAUCAAUUUUUCACCAGAAUACCUAAUGACUUUUCGGUUAUUCGACAGAUAUUUUUUUCAGUGAAGUACCACCUCAGUACUACUUUUUCAUCAAAAACACAUUUCUUAGCUACUAGAAAUGUAUUUUCUUUCCUUUGUUUGUCCUCAACCCUCUUGCACCCAGGAAGAAUCUCUUGAGGAUCACUUUUUCAAGGGUGGAAAAACUCUACCGUGUGAAAACAUGUAACUCCCAUGAAUAUACCACCUCUGACAUUUUCAGUUCCAAACAAAGUCUCAGGACAUGGGAGUAGGCCAGAAGAGCUGCUUGGGAUGAAGAUGUUUGGUCAGCUUGAGUAAUGGCUGUCACCGCUCAUUAUGUGCAUUUCAUUGCACUGGAUGAUUUUAUUUUGUUUCUACAGGUUCUGUUUCUGCUCGUUCACAUUACUCCUACCUCUUCCUCUGAGGUCUUUUCCCUCCUAUCUGUCCCAAAUAUUUUCUGUUCUUUGCUUUUAGUCAGAUUUCUCAAAGCUAUAAUUUGACCUCCAUUCCCAAAGUCCCCUUCCAUUUCUCCCU